CUGAUUUGUUUUCAUGGAUCCUGUGCCUCUGGCAGAACAGAGAGGAGAAUCUGCCUUUUACUUGUACCGCCAGCUUCUCCCAGGAUAGGGCUUAUGUUCUGAUAGCUUCGGUAAAUAACUGUUGUCUACAUGACUGACUAAGCUUAUGCACAUGAUCUGAAGUUUGUUCCUGAUUUAUCUUGUUUUGUGUUCCUAGGAAGGGGCGACUAAGCCCGAAAUUACAAAACCGGAGUAUGCUACUGGGACUGUAGAAGUGGCUCCGCAGGAGCUGAAGGAUCAUAAAACACUGAGCUCUGUUGGUGGAGCACACGGAGCUUAUUAUACACUACCCGACGUGGGACCUGGCGCAGCUCCGGUGUGGCCCGGCAUCACCCGCCCACCUGCGGCGGCCUCGGAGGCCCAGAUUGUGUGUCAGUGUGCCACUUUACAGAAGAGAGAGGAAGAGAAUCUUCCUGGGAUGAGGUACAGUCUCUUGUUGUUAAUGUCCUUGUGUGACUAUAAAAGUACCAGGGGAUUCUGAGACAUAAACCGGGGGUUGGUGUGAGUGUGCAUUUUCACGUUUGCAUCUGCUGAUGAG